AGUGAACGCUGGCGGUAGGCCUAACACAUGCGAGUCGAACGGCAGCACAGUAAGAGCUUGCUCUUACGGGUGGCGAGUGGCGGACGUGUGAGGAAUACACCGGAAUCUACUUUUUCGUGGGGGAUAACGUAGGGAAACUUACGCUAAUACCGCAUACGACCUACGGGUGAAAGCAGGGGAUCUUCGGACCUCGCGCGAUUGAAUGAGCCGAUGUCGGAUUAGCUAGUUGGCGGGGUAAAGGCCCACCAAGGCGACGAUCCGUAGCUGGUCUGGGAGGAUGCUCAGGCACAUGCAGAAUCAGGAUCGGUCCGAGUACCUUUGCGAGGCACCAGUGCAGAAUAUUGACCAAGGGGAGCAAACCUGAUCCAGUCAUCCCACGCGGGUGAAGAAGGCGUUCGCGUUGUAAAGCCCAUUUGUUGGGAAAGAAAAUCAGCCGGUUAAUACCCCACUGUUCUGACGGUACCCAAAGAAUAAGCACCGGCUAACUACGUG
rnacentral:rRNA from 1 species